rnacentral:rRNA from 1 species
GGAAUAUUGGUCAAUGGGCGCGAGCCUGAACCAGCCAAGUAGCGUGCAGGAUGACGGCCCUAUGGGUUGUAAACUGCUUUUAUCAGGGGAUAAAGUGGGGGACGUGUCCCCCUUUGCAGGUACCUGAUGAAUAAGGACCGGCUAAUUCCGUGCCAGCAGCCGCGGUAAUACGGAAGGUCCGGGCGUUAUCCGGAUUUAUUGGGUUUAAAGGGAGCGCAGGCCGGAGGUCAAGCGUGACGUGAAAUGUAGCCGCUCAACGGGUGCACUGCGUCGCGAACUGGUUUCCUUGAGUGAGUACGACGUCAGCGGAAUUCGUGGUGUAGCGGUGAAAUGCUUAGAUAUCACGAAGAACCCCGAUUGCGAAGGCAGCUGACGAGUCCUUUACUGACGCUAAAGCUCGAAGGUGCGGGUAUCGAACA